GACGUAGGGUGCGAGCGUUGUCCGGAAUUACUGGGCGUAAAGGGCUCGUAGGUGGCCAACUAAGUCGGACGUGAAAUCCCUCAGCUUAACUGGGGAACUGCGUCCGAUACUGGAUGGCUUGAGUUUGGGAGAGGGAUGCGGAAUUCCAGGUGUAGCGGUGAAAUGCGUAGAUAUCUGGAGGAACACCGGUGGCGAAGGCGGCAUCCUGGACCAACACUGACACUGAGGAGCGAAAGCCAGGGGAGCAAACGGG
rnacentral:rRNA from 1 species